rnacentral:tRNA from 1 species
GUGUUUGGGUCAGAGACUAUAUUGACUUGAAAUCAUUGUAAAUUGCACGUAGGUAUGCAACAGACACU